GGAGGGCCCCCUGCACGCAGGCCGCCGGGCCUGGUCACAUGUGGCCCAGGAGGCCCCGGCUGGCUGCGCCGACCCUGUGACACCCCUACUUCCAGGUUUAGGGGACACUGCAUUCCCUGUUGGCUUCGGCCACAAGCUCUCAGUUCCCUUUUCUGAAAAAGACAAGGGCUUUGGAAAGAGGAAGAGGAGAGGCCGGCAUCGUGGGGUGUAGGGAAAGCAGGGGGGCAGGGGAGCCGAAGGGGACACCACUCCCUUGACUGGCUCUCCCGGGACCCAGCCUGAGUCCUGCCUGGCAUCCACAAUUGGUGUGAAAGCCUCCUCGGAGCCAGCUGCCCCUGGGUGAACUUCGGACUGCCAUCUCAGCCAUCGGCCACCUCCUCACCCGGAACUCACUGCCAGGCCUCAGCACUGAGCCUGGCCAGCCAGGGCCCCCUGUCCCCACGCUCAGCCUAGCCUGGACAGGUGGGGUGGGAGGGCACGGGAGGGGCACAUGUGCUGCCCUGGGAGUCCUCAUGCAGCCCGGACGCCCAAGUUCAACGCUGGGUACAGAUUCUGAGGCUGAGGCCCCUCCACAAACCACAACAGCGCUGAGAAGAGGGCCCCAGGACCCUCUAAACCCCCAGAUACGUAUCCAACAAUAGAAACCACGCCAAAGCUUGAUAUGAUUUUUUUAUUAACAUAUAAUAUAUUUAAUAAAAAAUAAUAUCCACUCUGGCUCUCUCCUGCAUUGCAAGGGGAAGAGUGGGGAGGGGCUGGCACCGCCCACCCCCCCAGGCGCAGGGCAAGCCCCGCCUCCCCUCCGGGGCUCCCCUCCAUCCCUGCCUUCCAACAAGGCUCUGACCUCCAGACAGAGGAUUCAAAGUUACAAGUGCUUUAGGCCCUCCCUCCAGCUCCCCCAGGCCCGCCCCUUGUGCAGAGUUCAGGGGCCACCUGGACAAGACCCCUUGCUUUUUUUCUCAUUCUUGGGAUCCCUCGUUCAUGGUAGAAAGAGGAUCUAGGGGGCAGAGUGGAGUCUCUACUGGCCAGGGGGAAGGAAGGAAAGGACCAGUGACGGGGCAGGGCCAAGAAGACGGACGCUGAUGAGGCCCCUCACUGCAGCCGGUCACUGCGGAAAGAGUCC